GACGAACGCUGGCGGCGCGCUUAACACAUGCAAGUCGAGCGACGAAAGGUCCUCGGGACCCUGAAAGCGGCGAACGGGUGAGUAACACGUGGGUAACCCACCCUCGGUUUCGGGAUAGCCCGGGGAAACCCGGAUUAAUACCGAAUAGCCUCUCCGGUCUUCGGGCUGGUGAGAAAAGGUAGCUUCGGCCUCCGACCGAGGACGGGCCCGCGGCCGAUUAGCUUGUUGGUGAGGUAACGGCUCACCAAGGCGACGAUCGGUAGCUGGCUGAGAGGACGACCAGCCACACUGGGACUGAGACACGG
rnacentral:rRNA from 1 species